GACGAACGCUGGCGGCGUGCUUAACACAUGCAAGUCGAACGGAAAGGCCCUGCUUUUGUGGGGUGCUCGAGUGGCGAACGGGUGAGUAACACGUGAGUAACCUGCCCUUGACUUUGGGAUAACUUCAGGAAACUGGGGCUAAUACCGGAUAGGAGCUCCUGCUGCAUGGUGGGGGUUGGAAAGUUUCGGCGGUUGGGGAUGGACUCGCGGCUUAUCAGCUUGUUGGUGGGGUAGUGGCUUACCAAGGCUUUGACGGGUAGCCGGCCUGAGAGGGUGACCGGCCACAAUGGGACUGAGAUACGGACCAGACUCCUACGGGAGGCAGCAGUGGGGAAUAUUGCACAGUGGGCGGAAGCCUGAUGCGGAAGCGCCGCGUGCGGGAUGACGGCCUUCGGGUUGUAAACCGCUUUCGCCUGUGACGAAGCGUGAGUGACGGUAAUGGGUAAAGAAGCACCGGCUAACUACGUG
rnacentral:rRNA from 1 species